rnacentral:rRNA from 1 species
GACGUAGGGCGCGAGCGUUGUCCGGAUUUAUUGGGCGUAAAGAGCUCGUAGGUGGUUCGGCAAGUCAGUUGUGAAAUCUCCGCGCUCAACGCGGAGGGGUCAGCUGAAACUGCUGUGACUUGAGUCUGGUAGGGGAGUGUGGAAUUCCCGGUGUAGCGGUGAAAUGCGCAGAUAUCGGGAGGAACACCAGUGGCGAAGGCGGCACUCUGGGCCAGUACUGACACUGAGGAGCGAAAGCGUGGGGAGCGAACAGG